ACUCAAAUGAAUUGACGGGGAGGCACACAACCAGUGGAACAUGUGGUUUAAUUCGAUACGAAACGAGAACCUCACCAAGGCUUGACAUCUUAGUGUAAUCCUGAUGAAAGUUAGGACCUCCGCAAGGACACUAGGACAGGUGCUGCAUGGCUGUCGUCAGUUCGUUCCGUGAGGAGUGCCCUUAAGUGGGACAACGAACGCAACCCCCAUCUAGUGUUAAAAAUGUCACUAGAGACUGCUCCCGCUUUAGCGGGGGAGGAAGGAGGGGCAGACGUCAAGUCAGCAUGGUCCUUAUGCCUUGGGCCACACACAUGUUACAAUGGAUAGUACAAUGGGCCUUGCCAACUCGCAAGAGUGAGCGAAUCCCAUAAAACUAUUCUCAGUUGGGAUUGAGGUCUGAAACCCGACCUCAUGAACUCGGAAUUGGUAGUAAUCGCGGAUCAGCUAUGCCGCGGUGAAUACGUUCUUGCCUCUUGCACACACCGCCCGU
rnacentral:rRNA from 1 species